rnacentral:rRNA from 1 species
GAUGAACGCUGGCGGCGUGCCUAAUACAUGCAAGUCGAACGCUGAAGGAGGAGCUUGCUCUUCUGGAUGAGUUGCGAACGGGUGAGUAACGCGUAGGUAACCUGCCUGGUAGCGUGGGAUAACUAUUGGAAACGAUAGCUAAUACCGCAUGACAACAGUUAUUGCAUGAUAACUGUUUAAAAGGGGCAACUGCUCCACUACCAGAUGGACCUGCGUUGUAUUAGCUAGUUGGUGAGGUAACGGCUCACCAAGGCGACGAUACAUAGUCGACCUGAGAGGGGGAUCGGCCACCCUGGGAGUGAGACCCGGCCCAGACUCAUACGGGAGGCAGCAGUAGGGAUUCUUCGGCAAUGGACGGAAGUCUGACCGAGCAGCGCCGCGUGAGUGAAGAAGGUUUUCGGAUCGUAAAGCUCGGUUGUAAGAGAAGAACGAGUGUGAGAGUGGAAAGUUCACACUGUGACGGUAUCUUACCAGAAAGGGACGGCUAACUACGUG